AACGAACGCUGGCGGCAGGCUUAACACAUGCAAGUCGAGCGCCCCGCAAGGGGAGCGGCAGACGGGUGAGUAACGCGUGGGAAUCUACCCAUCUCUACGGAAUAACGCAUGGAAACGUGUGCUAAUACCGUAUACGUCCUUCGGGAGAAAGAUUUAUCGGAGAUGGAUGAGCCCGCGGUGGAUUAGCUAGUUGGUGGGGUAAAGGCCUACCAAGGCGACGAUCCAUAGCUGGUCUGAGAGGAUGAUCAGCCACACUGGGACUGAGACACGGCCCAGACUCCUACGGGAGGCAGCAGUGGGGAAUAUUGGACAAUGGGCGCAAGCCUGAUCCAGCCAUGCCGCGUGAGUGAUGAAGGCCCUAGGGUUGUAAAGCUCUCUCACCGGUGAAGAUAAUGACGGUAACCGGAGAAGAAGCCCCGGCUAACUUCGUGCCAGCCGCCGCGGUAACAC
rnacentral:rRNA from 1 species